CUUUGUCUUCUUCAUUAUAAUAUCUGCAGGGACACCAGCAAUUCCUACCCUUGCAUAAAAAUCUGGUGGGGAAAAUGCAUCAAAAUGAGUGCGAUGGAAAUCAUUGCGCCAUCCUUCCCCCAUAUAUACUUUCACCUUCAAAGUUGUCUUCACCGGCAACUUAGCUCUAGGAUUAAAAACCUCACCAUGUGGACCAGACUUCAAUAGAAAAUCUGGUUUCUUCACAUAACCACAUCCACCAUUGGCUCUGAACAUUCCAUGCAUCAACCAAAGUGAUCUUCCAUAUCCCUGCAUGUUAAAAGCAACCAUUUGAG
rnacentral:misc_RNA from 1 species